UGGGGAUAUGGCUCAGUGGUGGAGCACUUGCUUAGCAUUCUUGAGGCCCUGGGUUCCAUCCCCAGUACUAA
rnacentral:tRNA from 1 species